rnacentral:rRNA from 1 species
AUUGAACGCUGGCGGCAUGCCUUACACAUGCAAGUCGAACGGCAGCAUGAUCUAGCUUGCUAGAUUGAUGGCGAGUGGCGAACGGGUGAGUAAUACAUCGGAACGUGCCCUGUAGUGGGGGAUAACUAGUCGAAAGAUUAGCUAAUACCGCAUACGACCUGAGGGUGAAAGUGGGGGACCGCAAGGCCUCAUGCUAUAGGAGCGGCCGAUGUCUGAUUAGCUAGUUGGUGAGGUAAAGGCUCACCAAGGCGACGAUCAGUAGCUGGUCUGAGAGGACGAUCAGCCACACUGGGACUGAGACACGGCCCAGACUCCUACGGGAGGCAGCAGUGGGGAAUUUUGGACAAUGGGCGAAAGCCUGAUCCAGCAAUGCCGCGUGUGUGAAGAAGGCCUUCGGGUUGUAAAGCACUUUUGUCCGGAAAGAAAUGUCUCUGGUUAAUACCUGGGGUCGAUGACGGUACCGGAAGAAUAAGGACCGGCUAACUACGUG